AUGGCUCUCACCUCUGGGCUGGACACAGCGUACUGUAAGUACAGGUUCCCUCUGGUUCUCCUUGUGUUACUCACUCUCUCUUUCCUUUCCUCUCCACAGGUAUCAACUUGGACACAAAGCACAGUUACUCUGCUUUGGAUGGCUUUCACCUCUGGGCUGGACACAGCGUACCGUAAGUACAGGUUUCCUCUGUUUCUCCUUGUGUUACUCACUCUCUCUUUCCUUUCCUCUCCACAGGUAUCAACUUGGACACAAAGCACAGUUACUCUGCUUUGGAUGGCUUUCACCUCUGGGCUGGACACAGCGUACCGUGCUAUCUCCGGAGAUCUGAAGCACGCUCACAACAUAUACUGUACUGAACUAGGCUAGGACCAGCAGUCUCCUUGUCCUCCCGCGACGAAGUGCGUGAAGGCGGGGGUUUAUCUGACAGGACACACGGCAAUACACAGCAGCCCACAGCAAUAUACAACACCACGUCAAAAUUAUAGGUUUUUCACAGCACGAAGACUCACCCACCACACUCAGUGUACGAAAAAGGACACCCGUCUUCCUUCACUUCGCUUGGUUCGGAUCUGGCGAUGGAAUAUGCGGCCUAGCUAGUGAUGUCGUCGUUGUGACUACUUCAAUAAGUAUUCCUUCGGCUCUCCCACCACGCUAUAUUAGGGGGUAGGGCCGCCCUCCUCCUCCUGGAGAGAUCUACACAACGCCAGGUCAAUAUACAGGGCACUUUCGACUGGUUCUUAGUACUCACAUCAAUGCCGCUUCCAAUCCCCUUUUUCACGUCGUCUCAGUUCGCCGUAUAAUCCGUUCACUUCUCAACCUUUAAGGUUCGCGAUGUCUUCACAAUCAUACAAUUCCAGCCUGAGGGAGAGAGAGAGUUAGACAGCCACCAGCAGCGCACCAAGACGGGCACAACACAGUGCUUCACACACACCAGAAAGAGCUCCCAGACUGUGAAAUAACUUGGCCUUAAGUACUGCCUUGUCCAGCGUAUCCUCCAAUCACCAACCGCUGUCCCUACAUAGGCACAGGUGCAUCGAAUUCCCUGAUUUUCCUUCUUACGGCGCUACCGGAAGUUCCGGUGUUCUGUUUUUCCGGUCCGGGCGGAAACACUUCCGGGCGGAACCAAACUUCCCGAAUUUUGGUUCCGCCCCUAAAGAUCGUCACCUUGUGACAUAUAUAUAAUUAAAGAAAAUGUAAAUAAUACAACUACUGAUAUUUAAAUUAUUAUUAUUAUCAUCAUCAUCAUUAAAAACAAUAAUUUAUGAGUUAAUUUUGUAUUUAUUUUAAUAUGUUAGGACCAAAAUAUACAAUGAGGUUAAAAAGCACAGUGGUGGCAUUUUCAGUGAGUAUAGAAAAGUAUCACUCCCACAUUUUGUUGUUUGCAUCCUGGAAAUGAAGACGGACACCGUUUUUUGUUUUAUCCAGCUGUAUUUACUCAGUGCAACUUGCAUCCAAGUGAAAGAUAUAACACCAAAAUGUCAGAAAAAAAAAUAAAAAAAUCACUGAGUUGGAAAGAGGAUCAAUACCCCCCCCAACAAUGACAUGUAAACUCAAUCAGGUGUAGCUAAUAACCUUCUGUGAUCAUCUGUGGUCAUUUUGAUAAGCUCAGCAUAAAAAGAGCUUUCCUGGAGCAUUUCAGUCCUUUGUAGUGCAACUGAAGAAAACAAUCAACUAUAGGUGGCAAGGCACUGUCAAAAGAUCUCCGGGAUAAAGUUGUGGACAGGCACAAGUCAGGAGAUGGAUACAACCAAAUUUCAAAGGUUUUAUCAGUUCCUAGAAGCACAGUGAGGUCUAUUAUUUAAUACAACACAGACCCUCCCUAGAUAAGUACGUCACUCCAAAAUGGAUGAAAGAGUCAGGAGGAAACUGCUCAGAGGCUACCAAGAGGCCUGCAGCAACUCUGAAGCAGUUGCAGGAAUUUAUGACAAAGAGUGGUCAUUGUGUGCAUGUGACAACAAUCUCACAAAUUCUCCACAAAUGUGGCUUUAAUGUGAGGGUUUCCAGAAAAAAAGCCACUCCUCAAGAAAGGUCACAUGCAGUCAUGACUAUAGACAUAUACAAUCUAAAAAUAGAAAUAAAUAAAAUCACCCAUGCUAAAUUAAUAUUCCUCAUUAUGGUGCACCAAAUGUUGUAAAUAAGCUGCCAAAUUGGGUUCUGAAAAUAACAGCCCAUUCUUCUUACUUUUUUUUUUAUGGUGAUGCUUGUUUGUUUGUGCUAAAUAUGAAAAGGACAACAUGUGUUCAUGCUUGUUACAGCUAAAUGUGAUAAGUCUGGCAGUCAUUUUCUUUUAGAAAACAUUAUUAGAUUUCCAUAUUUAUUACUUUCUUCAACCAAAAAAUACAUAAUAUAGGAAUUACUUGUUAUGCAAAAAUCUACAAUAACAGAG
ensembl:lncRNA